GACGAACGCUGGCGGCGUGCUUAACACAUGCAAGUCGAACGGUGAAGGGACUGGUUUUGCUGGUCCUGGAUGAGUGGCGAACGGGAGAGUAACACGUGAGUAACCUGCCCCCUUCUUCUGGAUAACCGCAUGAAAGUGUGGCUAAUACGGGAUAUUCUGGGUCUGUCGCAUGGUGGGCCUGGGAAAGAUUGCGCCUUUUUUGGUGUUUUUGGUGGGGGAUGGGCUCGCGGCCUAUCAGCUUGUUGGUGGGGUGAUGGCCUACCAAGGCGGUGACGGGUAGCCGGCCUGAGAGGGUGGACGGUCACACUGGGACUGAGACACGGCCCAGACUCCUACGGGAGGCAGCAGUGGGGAAUAUUGCACAAUGGGCGCAAGCCUGAUGCAGCGACGCCGCGUGAGGGAUGGAGGCCUUCGGGUUGUGAACCUCUUUCGCCAGUGAAGCAGGCCUGCCUCUUUUUGUGGGUGGGUUGACGGUAGCUGGAUAAGAAGCGCCGGCUAACUACGUG
rnacentral:rRNA from 1 species